GUAAGCAUCCGAUUAGAAAUUCCGUGGUAAUUUAUCAAGAUGUAUUAUAAUUUCACGUGUCUGCAUGUUCAUGCAUUACCCGUUCAUAUAGGUAUGUGCAGAUAUAGAUAUACACAGGGUCAUAUGCUGUUAAUAAAUUUGAUUACUAUUUUCUUUACAGUUCAAGAAAAAGUCAGCAAUGCAAGAACCAGGGAUUCGAUAAAGUGCAAUUUUCAGGGCGAGCAACGAGUACGCAAGAAGGCGAAAGAUCGUACCAGGAACUUGAUACAAGCCAUGUAGCCAAAGCCUCUGUAUAUUCUGAAAGAAGAACACAAGAAAUUGGAGGU